CCGACAACACAUUUGAAUGGAUGGACAACAACAACUUCGUCGGCUGCAUGACCACAGCAAUCCCAUAACUGGGAAUCAUCAAUAAUGUGAUUUGACGCAUUUACAUGCACUUCGGUAAGGCGAUCGUCAGAAAAAAAAUGGUUUCCGUGGUUCAUUCAAUUGUUUCGAUUUCUUUCCGCGUACAUGACUUAAAACUCUCGGUCUCAGUAGGAGGCCUUCCGGCAGUCCUACCAGAAACCUGCUGGCAUUCAAUUUACGAGGCCUUGAGAGCGUCUGAUUGGCUGAAGGAAACAGGAAGUGUUUUAGUAGCCGGAAGAAAUUGUUGUGUUCUUGAACGUGCUGAGGUGCAGACGUCUUUUUUUCCCUUUCAAUAAAACUGCAUUCAAAGGAAUACAUCUCUCCUUUUGCCGUUCGUAAAGUAGCGCCAUCCCUUCAGAAACAACGAACCCCUUAACUUACACAUGCAACGGCUAUGGCGACAUUUUUGAGAGGUUCAUAGGCCAUGAGCGACAUCUACUGGUGAAA